rnacentral:lncRNA from 1 species
GCAACUGUGAACUAAAUCAUAAUUAUAUUUUGCAAACGAAUCCAUAAAUAGCCCGACCAGACAGAGCAAAGCUUCUACGUAAGACACAUUUGUAACAGAACACACGCAGAUCAAUAAUCAUCAUCAUCAGGUGGCAGAAUAUUUAGCACGCCGGAUAAAACGCUUAGCGCCAUUUUGCCCGUCUUCACGUUCUGUGUUCACCCCAUCCCCCAAAGUUGCUGGACUUGUGCCAUUAUUAUUAUUAUUAUUAUUAUUAUUAUUAUUAUUAUUAUUAUUAUUAUUAUCAUCAUCAUCCUCAUCAUCAUUAUUAUUAUUAUUAUUAUUAUUAUUAUUAUUAUUAUUAUUAUUAUUAUUAUUAUUAUUGUCAUCAUCAUAAUCAUCAUCAUCAUCAUCAUUAUUAUUAUUAUUUUAUGUUUAACUUUUGCUUUGCAUUUGAACAACAUCGCUCAAAGACUCAAGUGACAACAAGUUCGAAGUUCAUAUUGGUGUUAUGCCUAGCGUGCCGUAUAUUUGGUUUUGCACAUAGUGUUCUUCUAGAGAAUGUUUAAAAAACCAUAAGAAAAUUGUGUUUGUUAUAAAACUUGAGAUUACAUAGACAGUAUUUUGCGUAGGAUAUGGGCAGUUCCCAUUAGCACUAUCUUUUGAAUUUCUGCCAUUUUGGGCUUUCCUGGUAUCUGAGAUAGGUAGCAAUCAGCCCCCUUUGCUAUCAUUCCCAGGGCACCUAUAACAACAGGUAUUGUUUUAGUCUUCAGAUUCCACAUUCUGCUAAUUUCUAUUUCAAGAUAUUUAUUCUUGCUCAGUUUUUGGUAGAUCUUGACAGAUACAUUUAUAUCGAUUGCGACAGUCAUAUCAAUGAGGAGGCAUGAUUUUAUUAUUGUUGUUGUUGUUGUUGUUGUUGUUACUAUUAUUAUUACUGAGUGAGAGAGCAGUGCAUGCCACCAAAGUGACAAUGGGGUAAAAUAUAUGAAGCCCAAUAUAACCAUCAUGACUACUCAUCUGAAAAGGGUACACCAGACACAUGUAUCACAGCCAUAUAUGAACAAGGAGAUCUCAUAUCAAGAUAAACAGCGCAUGAAAUUCCAGCCGGAGUCCAGUUAGAAUUUUCUUCGGGUCGAGUCGCCCAUCCCGUUUAAAAGGUCCCUGAAUAAGAGUUGUUUAAGGAUGUUGAAUGAAACACCCAUGUUUCCAGAGGUGAAUUAAUCAUAUUGAGAGGAAUAUCUAUUGUUGCCCAUCUUUUAUACCAAGACAAAGCAAUAUACAUGCUUAGCGGUAUUUCGACCGUUGCUACUUUCUGAGUUCAAAUGCACAUAUCGCCAGCCAACAAGGGACAUGCUCAACUGGUUAUGGUCAAACAACUGACAGGCAAAUAUAUGGUAUUGGGCAGAAUAUAUGCUGUAGCCCAUCUUUUAUAUCAAGACAAAACAAUUUAUAUGUAUUAUUGUGCCAUAUAUUUGAGGUUUUAUAUUUUUUUUGUUUUUUUUUUUUUUGGUGUUGUACCAGUGAAUGCCUAAUACAUAAAAAUUUUAAAAAAAAUAAAAAUUAAUAAAUAAAUAAAAAAAAGUUUGUUUUAAACCUUGGGAUUACAUAGAGAGUAUUUUGCGUAGGAUAUGAGCAGUUCCCAUGAGCACUAUCUUUUGAAUUUCUGCCUUUUUGGGGUUUCCUGGUAUCUGAGUUAGGUAGCAAUCAGUCCCUUUCGCUAUCAUUCCCAGGGCACCUAUGACAACAGGUAUUGUUUUAGUCUUCAGCUUCCACAUUUUGCUGAUUUCUAUUUCAAGAUCUUUAUAUUUGCUCAGUUUUUGGUAGGUCUUGACAGAUACGUUUAUAUCGAUUGGGACAGUCAUAUCAAUGAGGAGGCAUGUUCUUUGUCUGAAGUCUUUCAAUAUGAUGUCUGGCCUAUUUGCAUCUAUCUUCCUGUCAGUUUGAAUGGUGAAGUUCCAGAGGAGUGAGAUGUGGUCAUUUUCAAGCACUGGAGGUGGAUUGUGUUCCCACCAGUUUUUUUCAUGGGGAAAAUCCAGGUUUUUGUAAAUUACCCAGUGAAUAUAUCGUGCAGCUCUAUCAUGCCUAUUGAGGUACUCUGUAGGCGCUAGAAGACUGCAUUUGGAGACAACAUGAUCAAUAGUUUCAUUUUGUUGUCGGCAUACAUGACAUGUUGGGCUACUGCCGUUCUUUAAUAUGUUGGCCUGGUAGUUUCUUGUUGGUAGGCAUUGAUCUUGAGCUGCUAUGAUAAACCCCUCUGUUUCAGAUUUUAAGCCAGAGGCCAUUAUCCAUUGAUGUGUCAGGGCUUUGUCGAUAUCUGCAUUAUUCGCUCUCUUUGGGUAUUUGCCAUAGAGAGGCUUUUCUUGCCAUUUAUUAUUCAGAAUAUCUAAGGCCGCAAUUUUGGCACGGGUUUUCAUGCGCCUAGCUUUUUCUGUGCUUGUUUCUUGUAUGUCUAUCUCUAAUUCCGAAAUUUGUUGUAUUCGGAAUUCACUUAAAUAUUCCUUUGCCUGUUUUGUGACUGAGUAUGAUGCUUUCUUGUUUUCAUGUUUUGAGACAAGUUUUAACAUCCAGUCCUCAGAGUUUUUCAGGUAGGUGUCUAGGCCGAUUGCAGCAAUCUUCAUUGUUAUUGCCAGUUGCAAAAGACCACGGCCUCCCUCUUUUCUUGGCAGAUAGAGUCGUUCUGUAUCUGCCUUAGGGUAGUGCAUUCUAUGCAUUGUCAACAGUUUCCUUAUUUUUCUGUCGAGCUGACAUAUUUCAGUAAUUGACCAGUUAACAAUAUUGAAACUGUAAGUCACGACUGGUAUUGCUAAUGCAUUGAUCGCUUCGAUCCUGUUUCUUGCAUCCAGCUCUGUCUUGAGUAUUGGUCUCACUCUUCGAUAGCAAUCUCUCCUGAUCCUUUCCUUCAUCUCUGAAUGCCUUAUUCCGUUCUCUUCAAUUACCCCUAGGUACUUGUAGCUCUCCGCUGGGUCUAGUUCUUUUAUGACAUUCUGCUGGUCAAGGUUAACGUUAGAUGUUUCUGUCAUUUUUCCUUUGAUAAAGGUAGCUUUUGCACAUUUUAUUAUUAUUAUUAUUAUCCUUAUUAUUAUUAUUCAGUAGUUUUAUUUUUAUUUUUAUAGCGUGCUUUCACUUCACUACCGAGCACAGCUCUGUGUGCCUUGGGUUUGUGCUGUGAUUUGUUGUGAUGCUCUGAUGGUUAUUGUAUGGAAAGUGUUCUGCGUAGGAUGUGUGCAGUGCCCAGUAGUGCAAUUUUCUGUAUGUUAUAUGUGUUUGUAAGUCCUGGUGUUUUUGUUAUGUAUUUGUCUGAAUAUUUUUUUAUCAUUAUUAUUAUUUUUUUAUUAUUAUUAUUAUUAUUAUUAUUAUUAUUAUUAUUAUUAUUAUUAUUAUUAUUAUUAUUAUUAUUAUUGUUGUUGUUAUCAUUAUUAUUAUUAUUACUACUAUUAUUAUUUAUUAUCUUUGCACAGCUCCUAAGGCUGGAGAUGUACUACAGUGCCAGCUUUUCACUACCAGUGAACUAAGGUAAAACCCCUUAUUUUUCGAGCACCACCUGGAGUAUUACUAGUAUUACUAUUAUUAUUAUUAUUAUUAUUAUUAUUAUUAUUAUUAUUAUUAUUAUUAUUAUUAUUAUUAUUAUUAUUAUUAACAUUAUUAUGAUGAUGAUUACACUUGUUUAACAAAUGGUAGUUUCAGGCAAAUUUCUACUACAUCACUGCUGCACCUCCAUAUUGCUGGAGUGAAUGCAGCAUUGUGUUUUCUUUUCUGUUGUUGGGACUGUGUAAACUCUUCCCGGUAUUGUAUUGCGUAUUUUCCCUUGAGGUGUGGUGCAAUCUUUUGUUGUAUUUCUGCUUGUAUUUUGUGUUGAGUGUGUAAUGCCUUGGUUAUCAAGGUUCCUGGUGGAAGUUUAUUUGACUGGAUAAUUUUUGUAUAGAGGGUGCCUGGUGUUUGUGAUCAUGCCCAAUGCUCCAAUUAUUAUUGGCAUUGUUUACCCCUUCAUGUUCCACAUCUUGAAUACCUCAAUUUAGAGGUCUUUGUAAUUUGACAAUUUCUCUACUUCUUUUGGGGCAAUAUUUUGAUCAAAAGAAACAGAAAUGUAUAUCAGUAAACAGGUUUAAUGACGAAUACCUCUCAUUUUCGCUUGUAAAUAACAUAACAGCGAUUGCUUAAUUCACAAACAUUACAUUACUUCUACUGGAGGAUUGGAAAUAUUUUGCUGCAUGGGAAAUAUCGUAUUAGUAUAUCAGAUGAGUUUAAUAACACUGUAGCCUGUAUAUGCACCAAUGAACAUUUCUUUUUCGGUUGGGUGUAUGCACAGUAAAUCAGAUUGGAAGAGCACAGCCCAUGCUUUAGUCUAGUUUCAGUUAAUCUCUUCAAGGUAAAGAAACAUUAAAAACGCAGACAUUUAACGAAGCACAGUUUUAAUGUUCUGCUGCUUGCAUCACGUAGCGCUUCCUAACCUGUGUUGCAUCUUUACAGGUAAUAAAUUACAACGAGAAAACUUAAUCAGUAGUAAUAUAGGCAAUUAUUUUUAAUUAGCUUUUUAAUGUUCACUGCAGUGGUAUGCUAAUAUUAACUUUAUUAGUUACAGAAAACUAACUAGGACUGCAUGAUUUGAGAGUGAAAUCUUUCAGAAGUACUUGUUACAGGAAACGAACUACCUAACAAUCGAGUGGUUCUCCGGUUAACCGAUCGAUUCAUAAAGCGACUUUGAUGCCUUUUAAAUGAUAUCGAUAAAUUUAUGGUUGCAGUUAUAAAGGAAUCGAUUUAAGAUUUUAGUAAUAUUACUAUCAACUGUUCGGUUUAAUAAAAGCUAGAAUGCCUAAAGGAGCAAAUGUUUAAUAGUUUAACUCUGGCUCUCCGUCCGUUACGACGACGAUUAUGGCUGAGAACUCCACAGACACCCUUACCCCUUAACGUAGAUCGCAGAGAGAUUCAGCGUGACACAGAAGGUGACCACAAUGACAAUUUAAAUUACAAGUAACACUCAUUAUUGCCCAUUCAGUAGACUGGAACAACGUGAAAUAAAGUGUCUUGCUCAAGAACGCAUCAUAAAGCUGGGAAUCCAACUCAUUACCUUACCCUCGUGAGCCGAAUACCUCAAUGGCUAAGCUACCUGCCAUCACUUAAUUAAACAUUGAACUUAAUUAAACAUUAAAUUGGUAGGCCCUCGGCUAGAAUAACUUGAGGUAUUUGCUUGCAUCUGUUUGUGACUCUUUGCAUUCGAUUUCUACCGAGGUUUUAUUAGCCUUUCAUACGACUGACUUAAGUAGGAUAAACAGCAAUCACGUCAGACGAUGAGAAAAGUUGUGUCGCUCUAUCUGUAACACAGGCAGAUCUCCCUGAACACAUGUGGGGUAAAGCAAUGACAGAAAGGGAUAUCUCAAGAUCCCUCCUAGAAGUCGUUUGAUCAUAGGUCUGCAGAAUCAGAGCUGAGCUAGUAAUAAAAGUACAAAUAACAGAGCAUCAAAGUGAACACUUGUUCUGCUAGAAAUAACAGCUAGACUUUCCCCAGUUAAACUGUUACUAUGAAAAAUGAAGAAUAGCGUUUAAUGAUGGAGUCCUAGUCACGCUGUUUCUGAAACCAAAGACAGGAUAGUUGCAAAUGGAAGAUUUAUGCUUAUCAAUUUGUUCGGUCAGGGAUGAAGUGGGCCCAGGAAACAAUUGCAAUAACAACAACAUAAUACUUCAUCAUUUUCUAUUUUCCUUUCUUUUACCCGGUGAAGCGCAGCCAUGCUAGAGCAAUGGAUAAUAUAGUUUGGCUGAACAAACUCACGACAGUGCCAUUUAUUUUGAAGUCUUGUAUUUAUUUUAUCGGUUCUUUCGCCGAACCACUAAGUUAAUGUAACGUAAAGAAACCAACGCCAGUUGUGAAGCGUUAGUGGCCAAACACAAUACAAACACAAACAAAUAUAAAUGUGUGUGUGUGUGAGAGAGAGACAGAGACAGACAGACAGACAGACUUCCAUACAGCUUCCGUCACAAAGCGCAGGUCCAUCCACAGAUAUAGUAGCAGGCAGUUGUCCAAGGUACCGCGCAGUGUAACUGAACCUGCAGCCUCAUGGACGAAAAAUGAGCUUCGUAACCACACAGCUAUGCCUGAGUAGACAAUUAGAGAAGUGCAAUCUAUAAUAAUGUCAUCUUACGAAUAAACCAGAAUAUAUCUUUCAUGUAUUCAUUCGAAUAUGUUUUUUGCGAAGUCAAUGUUGACUUCUAAAGGAAUCUGUGCGGAAAAGUGUAGUAUAUAUACAUAUUUAUGGUAAAUGAAAGACGAAAGAUGGUAUACACGAGAAUUUUUAUUAUCAAUCACUGCAAUUGAUGCCUCACCGGUAGGACACUUCAUCUAUCUAUCUAUCUAUCUAUCUAACUAUCUAUCUAUCUAUCUAUCUAUCUAUCUAUCUAUCUAUCUAUCUAUCUAUCUAUCUAUUUAUCUACCUAUCUAUCUAUCUAUCUAUCUAUCUAUCUAUCUAUAUCUAUACAUAUAUAUAUAUAUAUAUAUAUAUAUAUAUAUAUAUAUAUAUAUAUAUAUAUAUAUAUAUUCAGCAAAAAACAAUUAAGAUUCAAAUGAAUUCAAAUAAAUAUGGUACUUAACUUAGAUGCACCAGGAUUCUUUAUGGUAUUAACCAUAAAAUUAUGUGGGGUGAUUAUAAUCAACAAAAAAGCAACAAGAAUGGAUCGGUAGAUUAGUACAAUUGUUUCAUACUAAAAACAUUUAAUUCCAAGCUGCAAAUAUUACAGCAAAUAUAAUGUCAAGUAUUCAUCAGCUAAAUCACAUAUAGGUUUUCCAUAUAUUCUUAGAGACUGUAAAUAUCCUUAUGAAAUUAUAGGAGUGAGUUCCAUGAAUCUGAAGUAAGAUUUCAAGCAGACUAUAUAUGUUUUCCCACAAUACAAAGUUUUUAUGAGUAGAUUUAUCUUCUCUGGGAUGUUAAUAAUCACUUUAAAAACUUUGUAUUGUUGGAAAACAUAUAUAGUUUGCUUGGAAUCUUACUUCAGAUUCAUGGAACUCAGUCCUAUAAUUUCAUAAGGAUAUUUACACUCUCUAAGAAUAUAUGGAAAACCUAUAUGUGAUUUAGCUGAUGAAUACUUGACAUUAUAUUUGCAGCUUGAAAUUAAAUGUUUUUAGUAUGAAACAAUUGUACUAAUCUAACGAUCCAUUCUUGUUGCUUUUUUCUUGGGUAUAUAUAUAUAUAUAUAUAUAUAUAUAUAUAUAUAUAUAUAUAUAUAUAUAGGGAGAGUUUACGAAAAAAACAAAAAACAAAGACAGAUGGUGUACAAAACAAACAGAUGUAUUAGUAUAACGCUCAGGAACAGAAAAAGUCUUUUACGUUUCGAGCCUACGCUCUUCUACAGAAAGGGACACAGAAAACAAGGAGAGAAAAAUGUGUGUAGAAGCUAACGAUCUAUCAUGGCGUCUGGUAUAUAUAUGUAUAUAUAUAUAUGUGUGUGUGUGUGUGUGUGUGUGUGUGUGUGUAUGUGUGCGUGUGUGUAUGAAGAAAACUCGAAAUAGAACAUGAAAAGGAUUAGCAGUAAUUGUCAAAUAUACAGAGAAAUCUUGUUAUCGGCUAUGGAAACCAAAUUUCACGAUAGUACAGACGAUUGGUACCAGGGAAUUUGUAAUCCAUAAACUUAAAACGUACCGAGACUAUUAUCAGCCUGGUCGCCAUAGCGAAUGAGAGGAGUCGAAUGCUGAUUUGUCAUUAGUUUUACCGUUAUUCUUUUCCAUUUUCCAUUUCGAUUUCCCAUUACAGCGAACUCAGCAACUACGUUGUUGCAUAUAUGUGUGUGUGUGUGUGUGUGUGUGUGUGUGUGUGUGUGUGUGUGUGUGUGUGUGCAUGCAUGAGUGUAUGUGUGUGUGCAUGUGUGCGUACAUGCAUGAGUGUGUGUGUGUGUGUGUAUACAGCGACUUUUAUUUCGAAAGGUAUAGAAGUAAGCAGGUGAGCAUAGUUAUGCAAUAGAGUAAAAUCAAAGCAAAAACGAAAAAAAAGAGAAUGGAAACCGACAGAACUUGUAUAUUAAGUAAAUGAAUGAAUGUAAAAACUCAAAUUUUUUUAAAAAUACGGGUAACUUGUAAGAACAGGGAAAACUCUACUACUUUGUCUGAUUUCGAAUGAGCAAAGCAGACGUAUACAUGCGUAUCCGUACAGCAGUGAGCAUGUAUGUGUCUAUUUAUAUAUUUAUGUAUACACACACACAUAUAUAUAUAUAUAUCUAUAUGUGUAUACAUGCAUAACUAUGCAUAUAUAUAUGUACCUACGUAUAUACAUAUGCCUAUAUAUAAAUUUGUAUAUAUAUAUAUAUAUAUAUAUAUAUAUAUAUAUGUAUAUAUGUAUAUGUAUAUAUUUGUAUAUAUACAGUUGAAUAUAUAUAUAUAUAUAUAUAUAUAUAUAUAUAUAUAUAUAUAUAUAUACAUUGUGCGUGUGUAUGUGUCUGAGUGUGUAAAGAAACUAGCCAAUACAAUGGCGAAAUAUAAUACAGAACGAAUGAGAUCAGAAGGUAAAAAAAAAGAUCUCGGCAAAUCUCGUAAUUAAAUUGAUAUUCGUUCGUGUUUUCAUGCCAAACAUACCAUACAGCUUUAAUUUCCGGUCAGUUCUUCAGACCCUCCAGUAGACGUAGUAGACGUCCAUUGUUACCAUUUCCUUUGUUCCAGUGAUGUAAUAUUACUUCUAUUUCUUUAUAUUGUACAUCCCUUCGAUUCUACACACUUGUUUCUUUAUCCAACUACCUCCGUGGAACAUUUAUCCUUUCGUGCCUGUCUCAAUUUGUUCUCUCACUCAUGCACUUUCACUUUCUUUUUCUCCCUCGCUUCCUUUCAUCGCCUUCCCUCUUUGUUAAUCUAUCUUACCAUCUACUUAAUAAACACGUAUCAACAUACAUAAUCAUAUCUACGCACACACAAAUACUCACACACGUGUACUCCCACCUACACAUAUAACAUUUGUACCAUUUCUUGUAUAUUUUCUGUCUAUUUAUGUUUUUGUUUUCAAUCUACAUUGCUCUUCAUCCCUCUCAUUUCUCUCUGUUUCUAAUUACGUGGUUCAUAUAAUUUCACUCUUGAUAUAAUUCUUUAUUCUUCCAUUCAUAUGUGCGUGUGUGAGCGAAGCUAUGAAUGCAUAUAACUAUAUUCUUUUAUUGUCUUAUUCUUUUACACGUUUCAAUCAUUUAGACUACGGCCAUGCUGGAGCAACGCCUUUAGUCGAACAAAUCGCUCCCAGGACUUAUUCUUUGUAAGCUUAGUACUUAUUCUGUCGUUCUCUUUUGCCGAACCGCUAGCUAACGGGGACAUAAACACACCAGCAUCGGUUGUCAAGCGAUGGUUGUGGGGGCAAAUACAGACACACAAACAUAUAUAUAUAUAUAUAUAUAUAUAUAUAUAUGGCGACGAGCUAGCAGUUACGCACUGGGGUCGAUAUAAUCAACUUAAUCCCUUUCUUUGUCCUUGUUUGUUCUCUCUGUGUUUAGCCCCCUGUGGGCAAUAGAGAAGUAUAUAUAUAUAUAUAUAUAUAUAUAUAUAUAUAUAUAUAUACGACGGACUUCUUUCAGUGUCCGUCAACCAAAUCCACUGACAAGGCUUUAGUCAACCCGAGGUUAUAGAAGAAGAUACUCGCCGAAGGUGCCACGCAGUGCGACUGAAACCUAAGCCAUGUGGUUGGGAAGCAAGCUUCUUACCACACAGCCACGCCUGCGCCUCAUAAAUAUAAUUGUACAUACACACACACACAUAUGUUGUAGUAGUAGUAGUAGUAGUAGUAGUAGUAGUAGUAGUAGUAGUAGUAGAGAUGACGAUGAUGGUGAUGAUGAUGAUAAUGAUAAUAACCACAACAAAAACAACAACAACAAUAACAACAACAAUAAUAAUAAUAAUUUAUUUCUUUAUUGUCCACAGGGGGCUAAAUAUAGAAGGGACAAACAAGGAGAGACAAAUGGAUUAAGUUGAUUAUAUUGACCCCAGUGCGUAACUGGCACUUAUUUAAUCGACCCCGAAAGGAUGAAAGGCAAAGUCGACCUCGGCAGAAUUUGAACUCAGAACGUAACGGCAGACUGAAUACGGCUACGCAUUUCGCCCGGCGUGCUAAUAAUAAUAAUAAUAAUAAUAAUAAUAAUAAUAAUAAUAAUAAUAGUAAUGAUAAUAAUAAUAAUAAUAAUAAUAAUAAUAAUAAUAAUAAUAAGAAGAAGAAGAAGAAGAAGAAGAAGAAGAAGAAGAAGAAAAAUAAUAAUAAUAAUGAUAAUAAUAAUAAUAAUAAUAAUAAUAAUAAUAAUAAUAAGAAGAAGAAGAAGAAGAAGAAGAAGAAGAAGAAGAAGAAGAAGAAGUAGAACAACUACAACAACAAUAACGGACUCAUCCAUCGAAGACGACAUAUAGACAUUCAGCUUCUGCCGAACGACCAGCACAAAUGGCUUGUUUAUAGAGACCAAAUGUAUGUGAUGCACAUUUUCUCAUUCUCUCUUCAUCAAAUCGACGUUACUUAAAAACACAAGGCAGCCGGUCUAAGAAUUGAAAACACGAUCGCUAGAUCGCGACUGCAACAACCUAAACACGAAGCCGUGUGUAUGUAUAUAUAUAUAUAUAUAUAUGUGUGUGUGUGUGUGUGUGUUUGUGUGUGUGUAUGUGUGUGUGUGUAUCUAUAUAUGUACAUAUAUAUAAGAGAACAAAGUGUACGUACGUCGCUAUAUAUAUAUAUAUAUAUAUAUAUAUAUAUAUAUAUAUAUAUAAUAAAAUGCAAAAUGGGACAAGAACGUAUAUACACGUAUGUAGGUACGUAUUUAUGUGCGUAUGUAUGUAUGUAUGCAUGCAUGUAUGGAUGUAUGUAUGUAUCAUAGUUUUGUAUGAGUUACUUUCAUUUUGUUUGGAAACGUUAAGUCCAUGACAUCCAUCCUUAGCAUAUGUAGCCUUUAAUUGUUUCAUCCGCAAGAUGGCGUAAUGCUGUAGUGUGUUGCUACCCCUUUAUACUGGGAAGUUCUAAUGUGAUUGACGUAGAUGUUAUCGCUACAAUUUGAAUUUGGACCCUUACUUUCAUCCAUUAUCAGCCAGGUGUUUUUUUUUGUUUGUGUGUCGCGUAUGCUGUAUCGGUUUAUCGUACUCUGCUGUUAUGAGUGAGCUUUCUUCAUGCAUACAUUCACUGUGUAGAGUAUAAAUGUGCUAUCUACUAAAUUUUCCCAUAUAUUUUCAUGGUUUGUAGUGUAAUUCAUUUUUAUAUGAUUUUGUUUCUGAGUCAACAUUUGAGGCCACUGAAGCGCAAGGGACUAUACAUAGGAAAAGAAGGACCUUACAAUUUCAAGGUAUGUCGAUUGAGAGAAAGCUUAAAAGACCGAACAGCACAGACCAGACGACAAUUAGACAAUGGUGGUGAGUUCCAGAAAACAGCAGUUCCAGAAAAGAAGCUAUUAGAAUAAAAAGGACUUGUGACUAACAGGAAGUUCAAUUGAGCAACUAUACGCCAGGAAAGUGAAGUAGGUAAAAUGUUUACAGGUAUUGACAGAGAGUACUAGAUCAUAAAGUUAAUUAGAGUAGUGAUACUGGAAAUAGUUAUUGAAAAGACACAUCGAAGAUACAGUUCGACGAUGAGUCAAAGAUUCCAGCUAUGUAGGGAGAAGAGGACGCAUUAUGUUAAAAACUCGAUUCAGACAUUUAUUCAGACAUUUAUUGUUAUUGCUCUUCGUCAUACGUGUGAUGACUAUGAUUGCCAUAGCAACAACAAUGGUAUUUGUAACCUUAAUGAAAGCCGUGGUAGAAAGAGUGGCAAUAAUCAUUAUGGUAGUAGAGGUAAUGGUUGGUGAUGGUCCAAGCAGUCGUUACGGUGACCGUUCUGGUAGUAAUACUGAUGUUGUUGUUGUUGUCUAUUCUAACUUAACAUACCUUCCUUCAAAGGGCAUUACAGUGGGGUUAACUCAUCUAGGUCGUCCCACAGAACGCCCCAUGUAGAGGUUUCGUUUGCGCAUAUAAUAGGAUCACAGGGCGCUGCUCCAUAUGGUCCCGCAGUUUCCAUCCAACUAGGAAUAUUAGGGUCUCAACCAUUGUCUUGUAUUCAAGAUCCUCUGCAUGACAUCCUGCUAGUUCAAAGCCAGGAAUCUGAUCUGUUAGGUCCUGUCAAUAACAAGAUCCACGCCCAGCUGCCGACACUUCGAUUUAUUUUCGUUAAGGUUUUGUUUGUCUCCUACCGUUCGACCUGUCUGGCCUGGUAAGACAUGCCUGAAGAUUUCCCUCCUACCAGCAUAGCCCUCUGGGUCAAUAGCUCACACAGGCACUUCACCGCAACAGAGUACUUGUUGAAGUGGCCGUUGACUACACAGUAGUUCUUCCGCCCUUUGACGGGUCUUAUUUUUCGUCCCGCAGGGUGUUCAGCAAUCACCCUCCUCACCAAGCAAGCUUGUUGGGGUUGUCAGUUUCCUCACCGACGACCCGACCAUGCGACAGGUUGUACUGAGUUACAUGUUACCAGUAGCUGAGUGGGGUAUAAGGAAAUAUUAUCUAAUGAUUCCUUCUCUUUUAAAGAUUAUUGGAUAUGAUUUGAGAGAGAUUCAGCUACUAUUUCAAGCAGGUUGAUGGAAAUCUCAUUAGAGAUCUUCACAUUAACUCGAUGCUGAUUGCGUUGCUGAUAGCGGUGUCGAUGGAGGAGUGUUGGCGAUAGUUUGUAUCAAUAUUGAUGUGGAUAUAAUGAAAUAGCUAUUGUCGUUCCAAAUUCUAAUUGGAAAGAGAUGUUGUUUUAUAAAAGCAUGCAUUAAUUAGAACAGGAGUGCGUUAUUACAUCAACGUUUAUUUAAAAUCAAAGAUAACAUAGAGUCUGUUAAUUAGAGUCUUUACAUGAAAUAAUUACGUUUGCGUGAGUUAUGGUAUUGUCUUAGAACAUUCUAAAAUAGAGUUAAACGCUAUCACGUUUGAAUACGUGUGCUUUAAAUUGCAAAACACUGCAAAACACUACAGCUUAAUCUUCUCGCUUUGGUUGUAUUUAUGUAGAGGUAUGAUGUGGAACGGUGUAGAAUGACGUGGAAUGGUGUAGCAUACCAUCGAGUUAUGUUGCGUGGCACGGUGUGGUGAUGUGUGAUUUGCUGAGCAAUAACUUUUAACGACGCCAUCUUCAAACGAAAUUGUAAUUCCAACAUGCAAAUAUCUAGGCAGGGAACCUUCAUAUUAAUCAAGUGUACAUUGUUACCACAGUACAUUGGAUAUAAACUUGCAUUUAAAAUACUAACGUACAUCAAUGGCGUCUUUUUUUGGAGUCAAAUGUUUAUUGUAUCAAACGAAGAGUGAAAAAAUAAAGACGCCAUCCUCGUCAUAAAAUAUGUUGUCAAUGUACAAACAUGAUGGCGUCUUCCCAGAAAUUAUGUGUAUAUUAGAGAGAAUAUGAUAACAAUGCAGUGAACGUUUAUUACAAAACUGAAUUCUUCCGCUGUGUAAUCAAAUAUCUAUAGAAAUAGUAAAAUAAUGACUUCACUUGGAAAAUAUUCGUAUAGCAAAAUAAUAAUAAUAAUAAUAAUAAUAAUAAUAAUAAUAAUAAUAAUAAUAAUAAUAAUAAUAAUAAUAAUAAUAAUAAUAAGGCCUCAGUAUGGCCUCAGUAUGGCCUGGAUUGACUACAAAAAGGCGUUUGAUAGCAUGCCCCACACAUGGAUCCUCGAAACACUAGCCAUUAACAAAGUAGCACCAACAAUCAUAAAAUUCAUAGAGCACUCUAUGAAUAAAUGGCAAACAGUCCUACACCUCCAAACAAAAGAGGGACUCAUGAAAACCAAAGACAUCCCCAUUAGAAGAGGAAUAUUCCAGGGAGAUACGCUCUCUCCACUCCUUUUCUGCUUGGCACUGUCACCUCUAUCGGAUAUGCUAAAUAGAACUGGAUGCGGAUAUAAAUGUUACGGCAAAACGAUCAGCCACCUUUUAUAUAUGGAUGACCUAAAACUAUACGCUGCAAAUGACAAACAGCUGGAAACACUAUUAAAGACAGUUCAUGGAUUUACCAAAGAAAUAGAUAUGAAAUUUGGAUUAGAAAAAUGCGCCAAAGUAACCAUGAAAAGAGGAAAACUAGUUAAGAGUAACAACAUCACACUAGAUGAAGCAAAUGAAAUAAAAGAAUUAGACCAAAGCCAAACUUACAAAUACUUAGGAAUCCAUGAACUAGAUAAGACACAACACACACAAAUGAAAGAGAAAAUAAAAAAAGAAUAUUAUAGACGAGUUAGAUCAAUACAAAACACAGAGCUCAAUGCUAAAAACAAGAUAAUAGGUAUCAACACUUUAGCUGUCCCAGUUAUAAGUUACAGCUACAAUAUCCUUAACUGGACACGAAAUGAACUGACCAAAAUAGACAGGGAAACAAGAAAAAUAAUGACAGGAUCUAGGAUGCAUCACCCAAAAUCUGACAUAGAAAGACUAUAUAUACAACGAAUAGAAGGUGGUAGAGGCCUUAUACAGCUGGAAAACUACUAUAAAAUAACCACCAUAGGACUGCAAAAAUAUCUACUUCAGAAGGAAGGAAAACUGAUCCAGAUAGCGGCAAAACACGAGCAAAACAAAAAACUGUUCUCAGUAUUUAAGGAAGCUGACAAAUACAAACAAGAAAUCAUACCACCUAAUAAACAUGAAGAAGAAGAAGAAGAAGAUGAAGAAACAACAAAAGCUAUAAAAAAAAUGAAAUCCAAACUAAAAAUAGAACAGCAACGAACCAUGAUAAAACGAUGGCAAGAAAAGCCCCUUCAUGGUAAAUACUGGACUAAACUAAACGCAAAAGAAAUAGACAAAGAAAAAUCCCAGCAAUGGUUGAGAAGCUCAGGACUCAAAGCAGAAACAGAGGGAUUUUUAAUUGCAGCACAAGACCAAAGCCUCCCCACCAGAAAUUACCAAAAACAUGUAAUGAAAAGAAAUAUUACAAGUAACUGCAGAAUAUGUGGAGAUGGACAAGAAACAAUAAAUCAUAUUAUCUCUAGCUGCCCAGUCCUGGCUAAGAAGGAAUAUAUUCAAAGACAUGACAGAGUUGGAACCUACAUACAUUGGAAGCUAUGCCAACAUUAUGGAAUAACAACAGAAAAAAGAUGGUAUAGGCACACACCAGAAAAGGUCACAGAAAACGACAAAGCAACCAUACUCUGGGAUAUGCCGAUACACACAGAUAGAGAAAUUAAGUCCAACAGACCAGAUAUAGUUGUCAGAGAUCAUGAAGAAAAAAAAUGCUUUCUAAUUGAUGUAUCAAUACCGGCUUAUGACAACGUGUCUCUAAAAGAAAUGGAGAAACUCUCAAAAUACAAAGACCUGGAAAUAGAGGUAACUAGAAUGUGGAAUCUGAAAACAGAAACAAUUCCUAUCAUAGUAGGUGCAUGAGGCAUGAUAAAAAAAUAUUCAGACAAAUACAUAACAAAAACACCAGGACUUACAAACACAUAUAACAUACAGAAAAUUGCACUACUAGGCACUGCACACAUCCUACGCAGAACACUUUCCAUACAAUAACCAUCAGAGCAUCACAACAAAUCACAGCACAUACCCAAGGCACACAGAGCUGCGCUCGGUAGUGAAGUGAAAGCACGCUAUAAAACUAAAAAUAAAACUACUGAAUAAUAAUAAUGAUAAUAAUAAUAAUAAUAAUAAUAAUAAUAAUAAUAAUAAUAAUAAUAAUAAUAAUAAUAAUAAUAAUAAUAAGAACACCGGGGGACUUUUAAGAUGUAAGAAGGAAAAUUCAGAGCUCCGAAACCUAUCCACAAACAUCGAAAACAAGGACAUCCUAUGGAGCCAAAGUUUUACUAACAAAGAACUGGACUGUAUCCGAGUAAGUAAUACAAACUGAAAUUUAUUACUAUUUUCGAAACGAAAUGAUGUAUUUUGACUCGAUAUCAUCUCCACCUCUAACGCAACACAUGUAAACAUGCGUGAAACAUCACGAUCAUCUCCGACCCCAAACACCAUGUACAAAGGAACUACGAAGAAAUUAAAUGCCACCGAUACUAUUCAACCCAAGAAUAACAAUCGAGCGGUACGUACAUUAAACCUACAACAAAAAAUGUACGAAAAACUACACGUGCGAAAUAAUGUGACAACAGAAAUAAACGGACCGGUACCCUACGAAAAUGACGACCGUCAAAAUAAUGGGCCGGACGUUGUACCUCAUGUCCCGCAAAUAAAACCCAAAAGACGUAAAUGGACACGUGAGGAAUACAUUUCUAUCUUACACGCAUACUUCACAGCAGUACUCUACCCAAAAAAUGAAAAUACAACAACACAUACAUAUAAAUUAUGGAAGGAAAAUAAUAGAGAUUUAGACUUGGAUACAGCAAUGAACCCUAAUAAAUUAGCUAACGUACGAAGAUACAUUCUCAACACAAAAAAAAUAUCAGAAAUAGAAAUAGAACACCUAAAAGAAAACAUACACCAGGAAAAUGUAGAUAGAAGCCACACAACAAUGCCCAAUAAUAUAAACACUGAAACUGUAAAACACGAAGACAAACGCAACAUUCCCAACAAACACGAUGUAAACAACGAAGGGGAGCCUAAUGAUUAUGAUAAUAUAAAAAAUAAAAUAAUCAAAGAACUAAAAACCACAGAGCUCAAAAUGGACCACCGACCAUACCUCCCAAGAAUAAAAAUAAACGCAAUAACAACACCAAUUAUAAACAACAUAAACCUAGCCGUCACUGAACUAGCCACUGAAACAAAAAAAAGUGAUAUCACCGAACUAAAUGACUUGAUAUACGCAGCAGCCACUGCAGCCACAAAAGAAGCUGGAUACUCACCCAAACCCGCCCAAACAGGAGUACCACCACCCAAACAAACCCUGUGGAUAAAUAACAUCCAAAACAAAAUUAAAAAAAUUAGAAAAGACCUGUCGAUUCUUAAUGAAAUCAGCAAACAAGCAACGCUACUGAGCAACAAAAAGAGAACAAAAAUACUCCGCAAAUAUAACACCACAGAAAAAUAUUUGCCGGAGAUAAAAGAAAAGCUGAAGCAAGAUAUCCUUGCCAAAGCUCAAAGGAUCCGCCGGUACGAGAAACGCCAACGCUUCUUUGAACAGAACAAAAAGUUCAACUCCGACCCCAAAAAGUUCUACCAAGAACUGGGCAAAAAUAAAAUAGAAGUCACUGCAGCACCAACGGCAGAAGAAUUGGAAGAAUUCUGGGGAGAAAUAUGGUCGGCGAACGAACCACCAAAAAAAAGGAGUAUCAAAAUAACAAACUCGGCAUCUGAACAAACUUGGACCCCCAUAACAACUGAAGAGGUCACCCAGGCACUGCAAAGACUAAGCAACUGGAAGGCACCUGGGCAUGACAAGAUCCCCAACUUCUGGUUGAAAUAUCUAACAGGAAUGCACAAAAAGCUGGCUGAAAACUUUAACAACGUACUAGCAGAGCCAGAGACAAUGCCUGAAUGGCUCACGAAGGGGAAAACCAUCUUAAUUCCCAAAUCAAAUGAAACAGAAAAACCAGAAAACUACAGACCAAUAACCUGCCUCCCUACUAUGUUCAAGGCAUUUACUGCAGUGAUAUCACAAAGGCUGAACAAGCACCUGGACGAAAACAAACUGUUCCCAGAAGAGCAGAAAGGAUGCCGCAAAGGCUCAUAUGGCUGUAAAGAUCAACUAAUGAUUAAUAAAGCCAUAACUGAAGACAGCCACAGAAAGAAGAAAGGCCUCAGUAUGGCCUGGAUUGACUACAAAAAGGCGUUUGAUAGCAUCCCCCACACAUGGAUCCUCGAAACACUAGCCAUUAACAAAGUAGCACCAACAAUCAUAAAAUUCAUAGAGCACUCUAUGAAUAAAUGGCAAACAGUCCUACACCUCCAAACAAAAGAGGGACUCAUGAAAACCAAAGACAUCCCCAUUAGAAGAGGAAUAUUCCAGGGAGAUACGCUCUCUCCACUCCUUUUCUGCUUGGCACUGUCACCUCUAUCUGAUAUGCUAAAUAGAACUGGAUGCGGAUAUAAAUGUUACGGCAAAACGAUCAGCCACCUUUUAUAUAUGGAUGACCUAAAACUAUACGCUGCAAAUGACAAACAGCUGGAAACACUAUUAAAGACAGUUCAUGGAUUUACCAAAGAAAUAGAUAUGAAAUUUGGAUUAGAAAAAUGCGCCAAAGUAACCAUGAAAAGAGGAAAACUAGUUAAGAGUAACAACAUCACACUAGAUGAAGCAAAUGAAAUAAAAGAAUUAGACCAAAGCCAAACUUACAAAUACUUAGGAAUCCAUGAACUAGAUAAGACACAACACACACAAAUGAAAGAGAAAAUAAAAAAAGAAUAUUAUAGACGAGUUAGAUCAAUACUAAACACAGAGCUCAAUGCUAAAAACAAGAUAAUAGGUAUCAACACUUUAGCUGUCCCAGUUAUAAGUUACAGCUACAAUAUCCUUAACUGGACACGAAAUGAACUGACCAAAAUAGACAGGAAAACAAGAAAAAUAAUGACAGGAUCUAGGAUGCAUCACCCAAAAUCUGACAUAGAAAGACUAUAUAUACAACGUAUAGAAGGUGGUAGAGGCCUUAUACAGCUGGAAAACUACUAUAAAAUAACCACCAUAGGACUGCAAAAAUACCUACUUCAGAAGGAAGGAAAACUGAUCCAGAUAGCGGCAAAACACGAGCAAAACAAAAAACUGUUCUCAGUAUUUAAGGAAGCUGACAAAUACAAACAAGAAAUCAUACCACCUAAUAAACAUGAAGAAGAAGAAGAUGAAGAAACAACAAAAGCUAUAAAAAAAAUGAAAUCCAAACUAAAAAUAGAACAGCAACGAACCAUGAUAAAACGAUGGCAAGAAAAGCCCCUUCAUGGUAAAUACUGGACUAAACUAAACGCAAAAGAAAUAGACAAAGAAAAAUCCCAGCAAUGGUUGAGAAGCUCAGGACUCAAAGCAGAAACAGAGGGAUUUUUAAUUGCAGCACAAGACCAAAGCCUCCCCACCAGAAAUUACCAAAAACAUGUAAUGAAAAGAAAUAUUACAAGUAACUGCAGAAUAUGUGGAGAUGGACAAGAAACAAUAAAUCAUAUUAUCUCUAGCUGCCCAGUCCUGGCUAAGAAGGAAUAUAUUCACAGACAUGACAGAGUUGGAACUUACAUACAUUGGAAGCUAUGCCAACAUUAUGGAAUAGCAACAGAAAAAAGAUGGUAUAGGCACACACCAGAAAAGGUCACAGAAAACGAGAAAGCAACCAUACUCUGGGAUAUGCCGAUACACACAGAUAGAGAAAUUAAGGCCAACAGACCAGAUAUAGUUGUCAGAGACCAUGAAGAAAAAAAAUGCUUUCUAAUUGAUGUAUCAGUACCGGCAGAUGACAACGUGUCUCUAAAAGAAAUGGAGAAACUCUCAAAAUACAAAGACCUGGAAAUAGAGGUAACUAGAAUGUGGAAUCUGAAAACAGAAACAAUUCCUAUCAUAGUAGGUGCAUUAGGCAUGAUAAAAAAAUAUUCAGACAAAUACAUAACAAAAACACCAGGACUUACAAACACAUAUAACAUACAGAAAAUUGCACUACUAGGCACUGCACACAUCCUACGCAGAACACUUUCCAUACAAUAACCAUCAGAGCAUCACAACAAAUCACAGCACAUACCCAAGGCACACAGAGCUGCGCUCGGUAGUGAAGUGAAAGCACGCUAUAAAAAUAAAAAUAAAACUACUGAAUAAUAAUAAUAAUAAAUAAAAGACAAUAAAUGUAUUGUCGUAUUAGUGUCUUUUGUUGGAUACGUUCAGAAAAGUUGUAGAAUUUAUUUAAGAACUGGUUUUAGAGUUCACCCUUCUAAUGCAAGUAAGUUAGUUUCUCAUUGUGAUAUUUACUUUUUGGCCUGUAAAGUAACUUGCAUUAUUUUGGAGUUGGCCAAUUCGUUAAAUUUGGCCUAUUUCGUAUCGAUGAGACUAAUUCAAUCAGAGCUGACUAAAACUUGUCAGGAAUUGGCUCCCUUAAGUAGCGAAAUCAUUAAAUAACAAACUAUCCUAACAUUAAUUUAACUAAUGUUCUCAUACAAAUGGCGUCUUGUAUAAAUCCCUCAAAUAAUUUUAUUUUUCUUCGCCACACUGUCUCAAAUAAUGUACCUUGGCUUCAUUAUUUUUUAUCAUAAAUUCGUUAAGUAUUGUAAGUCUUUUCUCUUUUCUCCAAUAAUGAAAUAAUAUCGGAACAUAUCUGGAGCUGUUCCACGUAUCUAGAGAAAUAAUUUCGAUAAUAUUUAUUAUUGUUUAAUAUUAUUUUUUCUAUUGAACUAUUAUGAUGGUCACCACAUUAUGUAUAUAUUGAUAUUAACGAAAGUUAUGAUACGUUACACAAGCUGUCGACAUGCACUAAGCUUUAUACAGAUAUCAUUAAGGAAUAAAUACCUUCAUUAAAAUGUAGUGUGAUGCACUGAAUAGUUGAAGGAGGGGUUGAUGCCCCUACCGGGCGAAUGCAUUUUCUGUACCAUUUGCACAUAUGAUUACUACUGACACGAAUAUUUAGCUGUUAACUGCGUAUGGAAUCCAUGUACAGCUAGAUCUAAUCAAUUCUAGGUCAAAUUAGUUGUAUAGGCUUAACUGAAACAGACUAUAUUCAUACGACAAAAUAGUUUAACGAAUUAUAGCGAAACUAUGCAAAGCCAAUCAUUCUGAAGUAAAUUACACAUUGAGAGUUGGGGCCACACUCGCCUUGUUAUAACUGAAGUAAUGAUACGGGUUCGUAAGUUCCUUAUAUUCUUCUCGAAGAUUGUUAGCGUUUGUUUUUAAUUAACGACUGUCAUGAAUACAUUGACACUAAUUAUAGGGAAUUCAAUGUUUAUGACAAUUGCCUGGUGUUGGCAGCAUUAGAACAUUGUAUAGCUUACUUAUAUACAUUCAUUGAUAUUACUCAAAUUUAACUAUAUAUAGCUGGAAAUUUUGCGGCAAUUAUUCCGGUUAUUAACGCAUUCUGAUUUCAAAUUCAAGCAAGGUCAAAUUCGCCAUUUAUCCAUCAGUUACCAAAAAAUAAGAAGACAAUUAAGUGCCGAGAUACGUUCUUCAUUUUGUUUUGCUCUCUCUCUUUCUCUCUCUCUCUCUAUCUACCUCUCUGCUUCUCUCUCUCUCUCUCUCUAUCUCUUUCUCUCUCUCCCUCUCUGCUUCUCUCACUUUUUCUGUUUUACUCUCCCUCUAUCUCUCUGUAUCUCUCUGUUCUACUCACUGUUUUUUUUUACUCUCCCUUUGUCUCUCUCUUUUACUGUUUCUCUUACUCUCUCUCUCUCUUCUACUUUCUCUUUCUCUAUCUUCCCCCCUCUCUCUCUCUCUCUUUUGCUUUUUCUCUUUCUCCUUCCCCCUUCUCUCUCUACUUUACUCACUUUCCCUCUGUUACUCAAUCACUCUUUUACUUACACCCUCUGUGUCUCUCUUUUUAGUUUCUCCUUCUUCCUCUCUUUCCCUCUCUAUAUUCCUCUGUCACUCUCUCUCUUUCCCUCUCUCCCUUUUCUUUUCUUCUUUAUAUCAGAAUUUCCACAUUUAACUGUGAUACGGUCGCGAAAAAAAUGUCCCUUUUCUUCAAAAACCAAACACAAAAGGGAUUUUUUUGUUGUUGUUAAGAAAGGGUUGGCAAACACGCUUCAUCUACCAAGCAAAUACAAAAAAAGAGAAAUAUAAAUAAAGAAAUAAAUAAAUAAAUAAAUAAAUAAAUAAAUAAACACCUCAUCCUUUACAUCGUCCUUGUCCAUUGCAAAAUCUGUGGCUUUAUGCCUAAGUUAGCAAUCAUUAUAUGUACCGUAAAUUAUUCACUGAAAUUAUCAGUUGUGUGUUUGGAUUCGUGGAGGACGAAAAUUAAUUAUUUUAUUUUAUUUUCGACAUUCAUCCAUAUUUGAUGAGUGAGAAACUCCCAUCGUUACCUCUUCGCCUGUUUAGCAAAAAGGGUUGAGCGUGUGGGUUGCGAGUCCUCCUAUUAAUAUUGAUAAAAAAAACUUAAUGGAUUAGAUCACUACAGGUUAGUUAAUAUUCCAGGGAAAAACAAAGCAAAAUAACACGAAAGAAAAAGCAGUCGGGCGUGAUAUUCUAUAACUUUUGCAGCAUUUUGCUGUUUAACCAUUUAUAACGAAAAUAGCGUGCUGCGCUACCAUAUUUAUCUGUGUGUGUGUGUUGUGUGUGUGUGUGUGUGUGUGUGUGCAAGCGUGCGUGAGAUAGAGAUAGAAUGACUGAUAAAAGGUGAGAUUGUAAGCGAGAGAUGGAGCGAGAGAGACGAAAUGUAUUCCGCUAAAACAAGGAAACAAAGUAAUCCGGUUAACUUAUCAAAAGAUCUUGCAUGUUUGUAAUAAAUUAUCAUUUUUUUUUUUUUGUAGACAGGCAUGGUUAAGAAGCUCAUUUCGCAUCCACAUGGUUUCUGGUUCAGUCCCAUUGCGUGACGUCUUCUAGUCAAGCCCGUGGCCGACCAAUGUGUAGUGAGUAAAUAUGCGUAGGUUCACGCAUCUCUAACGUUUAUUUCACAUUUACACUUUCUUAUAUCUACAUAAUUAUAUUCUGAGGUUAGUAUACAAUAACGUCAGUUCAUUGUUUCGAAUGCACAAACUGUAAGAGCUACUUUAAGACGCUGCAAUAUAUACUUCUGACGGUGACUAAAGCAAUUAAAGUGUCUCUGUUUUCCUUGGGUAUCUCAGUUUCAAAAGUAUUUCGAACCCUAGACUAGGUUUCGCUUGAGUGUUGCAGCGAGGAUUAAAUUACUAUUUACCAACAAAAGGCUUCCUUCGCUGGUCUCUUGACAACCACAAACACCUUUAACUUUUCUAAGUUGCUAUGGUUAUCUCCACAAUGACCAGAUAUGCAUGAAACCGCCAAGCCAAUAACAUUCACAGCCCGCUAUGUGUUCACUCACAUGUUUCUCAUGGGACUUUAUCCGUAGCGGAAGGUCUUCUCAUAUACGAGUCCAUUCGAACGAGGUGAAUAUAACUUAUGCGGAUAUACUUUAUUCAGUGUUGCUUCGAGCAGUAUUAUUCAUUUACUUUUGGCUUGACCAAGCUUUACAUACAUCAGCUUAACGCAUGCUGUUUUGAUAAGAAUAAUUUCAUUCUUAUCGAGUUCUAUGAAUGACAGACUUAGUGUUCGUAGCUGACAAUGUGAAGAAACGCAGAAAUACUAGAGCUAUGCUAUUGAAUGACGUCAUUUACAGCCCAUUUUGUGUUUUCAGACAAGUUUAAGAUGAGGAUUUUUUCUGGGCUUAUCUUCGCAGCGGAAUAUCUUCUCACGUCCGAGUGCACUUGAGCAUAUAUAUAUAUAUAUAUAUAUAUAUAUAUAUAUAUAUAUAUAUAUAUAUAUAUAUAUACAUAUACAUAUACACACACACACACAUAUAUAUAUAUAUAUAUAUAUAUAUAUAUAUAUAUAUAUAUAUAUAUAUGCAAAUGUAUAUAUAUAUAUUAAAAAAUAUAUAGAAAAUAGUAAAAAGUGAAAAAACUACAGAAGGCUUGUUUUAAAAGGUUAAAAAAUAUAUAUUUGAGUCAAUAUGUCUGAAGAAUAUUAUAAAUUUUUUUCUUACAAUGACAUAGUUUAGAAGAAAGACCGGUUUCGCGUUUAGCUUUUCAAAUUUCUUACGUCGUUAUGUUUAUGUUGAUGAGAUGAGUUAUCGUUAUGUUUAUGUUGAAAAGAGUUCUAAAUAAGGGGAGGUAAUAAGUGAUUUCUUCCGGUGUAAGGGAGAUAAUCGCUUAAAAUUUUUUGCCUUUCCCUUGGUGUGAAUUUCUCUGUAUCAGUAUGUUGAAAUUGUUAAGUCUGGGCUUGUACUUUUCAAUGAAGAAUGUUUCCUUGUUUAGUCUAAUUUAGAUUUGAUCUUGAAUUUCUGUCCAUCUUUGAAGAGGAAUUCUGAUCCUUCUAGCAGGUUUGGACAUGUUGCACAGUUCGAUCUACCACAUUUUUUUAGGGACAGAAAUUCAAGAUCAAAUCUAACUUUACUUGUGCCUCUGAAAACGUAAUUUAUGUCAUAAAAUGCUCGGGUUGCCACCAAGACUACGUGGGAUCCACGGGACUAUCACUCAGACAUAGAUGCACACUGCAUCGACAACAGAUUGCAUUCCCAGAAUACAGAAUGAUACCUUUUAGUGAGCACAUUGAGAAAUGCGCAAAGCAACUACAACCACAAUUUUUAAUCUUUCCAUUUUACCAAUGUGCUAUCGGAUCAUCAACACAGAUUAGACUAAACAAGGAAACAUUCUUCAUUGAAAAGUACAAGCCCAGACUUAACCAUUCCAACAUACUUAUACAGAGAAAUUCACACCAAGGGAAAGGCAAAAAAUUUUAAGCGAUUAUCUCCCUUACACCGGAAGAAAUCACUUAUUACCUCCCCUUAUUUAGAACUCUUUUCAACAUAAACAUAACGAUAACUCAUCUCAACAUAAACAUAACGACGUAAGAAAUUUGAAAAGCUAAACGCGAAACCGGUCUUUCUUCUAAACUAUGUCAUUGUAAGAAAAAAAUUUAUAAAAUUCUUCAGACAUAUUGACUCAAAUAUAUAUUUUUUAACCUUUUAAAACAAGCCUUCUGUAGUUUUUUCACUUUUUACUAUUUUCUAUAUAUUCAACCACGUGCUUUCACAAACCAACUUUCUUUCUCUCUCUCUCUCUCUCUCUCUCUCUAUAUAUAUAUAUAUAUAUAUAUAUAUAUAUAUAAUUAUAAUUUAAGGUAUCCGAGAGAAACCACCAUGCUGAAAAUAGCAGUCAAAAACUGACUCUAAAGCCACAUGAAAUGUUCAUAUAGCACUAGGAGGGAAGACAAAGAGACAAAAAUAAACUAGCAAAAAAUUACUGGAUAAUUCCAGAUCCUGGAUUUCUGGCUUUGCAUAAGAGAUGCUCUGCCUUCGUCAGCGGAAUAUACUCAGAUAGCAC